rnacentral:lncRNA from 1 species
GCAGCCUCAAGGCUAUUAGGUACAUAUUUAUAUAAUCAUUUCAAACCAUCUGGUUAAUAAUAAAUAAAUAAAUGCCAUUCUUAGAUCAAGGGCCAUUAAGAAAGGGCCAAAAGAAAAAGCAAGCCGGCAACUGGCUGCAUUUGGCCCACUGGCUUUAGUUCGCAACCCCUGGUUGGAGAUCAACAGGAGAAGAGAUGGGGCCUUGGACAAUGAAUAUGGCAAUUGCAUGCCUGGUAGAUCAGGGCUUGGAAAAAACAUCAUGCCUCACGAUAGCUGGACUGUGUUUUUGGAAGUCCUUGUAGCUUAGCAGGACCAGGGGAUUAACCGGAUUGAUGUAUCAGAAUAUUGCGUCUUUAGCUUAAACCUAGAAGGUCCAAUGUCACAAGACUUUUAAGCCCAACUUCACGACAGAAAGCUUCCAUUGAUUUUUGCCACACUCAUCAUCAGUGGGUAUACAUCUCUCUCUACCUUCACAAUCCUGGAAUAUGCAUAUGUUGAAGGAGGAAUACUGUUAAUUUCAUCAGUGUAAAAUUUUUAUCCUUGUUUGUUAAAUAAAUGUAUUUCUUCUACUGAA